GAUGAACGCUAGCGGGAGGCUUAAUACAUGCAAGUCGAGGGGUAACGAUGGAGCUUGCUCCAGGCGACGACCGGCGCACGGGUGAGUAACGCGUACACUACCUACCUUAUACUGAGGGACAUAUACUGGAAACGGAGUAAAUACCUCAUGUGAAUAUAUGUUGACAGAUGUAUAUUUAAAGAUUUCGGUCGGUAUAAGAUGGGUGUGCGUCCUAUUAGAUAGUUGGUGAGGUAACGGCUCACCAAGUCGAUGAUAGGUAGGGGGCGUGAGAGCGUGGCCCCCCACACGGGUACUGAGACACGGACCCGACUCCUACGGGAGGCAGCAGUAAGGAAUAUUGGACAAUGGGCGCAAGCCUGAUCCAGCCAUCCCGCGUGAAGGAUGACUGCCCUAUGGGUUGUAAACUUCUUUUGUAUGGGAAGAAUAGCAGACAUUUAUGUUUGUAUGACGGUACCAUAAGAAUAAGCACCGGCUAACUCCG
rnacentral:rRNA from 1 species